rnacentral:rRNA from 1 species
UACGUAGGGACCGAGCGUUGUCCGGAAUCAUUGGGCGUAAAGAGCGUGUAGGCGGCCACUUAAGUCCUGCGUGAAAUCUUGCGGCUCAACCGCAAGCGGUCGUGGGAAACUGGGUGGCUAGAGUGCGGGAGAGGAGAGUGGAAUUCCUGGUGUAGCGGUGGAAUGCGCAGAUAUCAGGAGGAACACCAGUGGCGAAGGCGGCGACCUGGGCCAAUAUUGACGCUGAGGUGCGAAAGCGUGGGGAGCAAACAGG